CUCCUACGGGAGGCAGCAGGUAAGAAUCUUCCGCAAUGGGCGCAAGCCUGACGGAGCGAUGCCGCGUGAAUGAAGAAUGUCGAGAGAUUGUAAAAUUCUUUUAUGAGUGAGGAAUAAAGGUGUCAGGAAAUGGGCACUUGAUGACGUUAGCUCAUGAAUAAGCUCCGGCCAAUUACGUGCCAGCAGCCGCGGUAAUA
rnacentral:rRNA from 1 species